AGAACGAACGCUGGCGGCGUGCUUAACACAUGCAAGUCGAGCGGUAAGGCCUUUCGGGGUACACGAGCGGCGAACGGGUGAGUAACACGUGGGUGAUCUGCCCUGCACUUCGGGAUAAGCCUGGGAAACUGGGUCUAAUACCGGAUAUGACCUCAGGUUGCAUGACUUGGGGUGAAAGAUCUAUCGGUGCAGGAUGGGCCCGCGGCCUAUCAGCUUGGUUGGUGGGUAAUGGCCUACCAAGGCGACGACGGGUAGCCGACUGAGAGGUGACCGGCCACGACUGGGACUGAGACACGGCCCAGACCUCCUACGGGAGCGAGCGAGUGGGGAAUAUGCACAAGUGGGACGAAAGCC
rnacentral:rRNA from 1 species